UGGGUCCCAGUUAACCUAUGCUGUGCCAGU
rnacentral:piRNA from 1 species